rnacentral:rRNA from 1 species
AAGACCUUGCACUUUUGGAGCGGCCGAUGUCUGAUUAGCUAGUUGGUGGGGUAAUGGCCUACCAAAGCUUCGAUCAGUAGCUGGUCUGAGAGGACGGCCAGCCACACUGGGACUGAGACACGGCCCAGACUCCUACGGGAGGCAGCAGUGGGGAAUUUUGGACAAUGGGCGCAAGCCUGAUCCAGCCAUGCCGCGUGAGUGAAGAAGGCCUUCGGGUUGUAAAGCUCUUUCAGCCGGGAAGAAAAGGUUGCGACUAAUAAUCGCAAUCCAUGACGGUACCGAAAGAAGAAGCACCGGCUAACUACGUGCCAGCAGCCGCGGUAAUACGUAGGGUGCGAGCGUUAAUCGGGAUUACUGGGCGUAAAGGGUGCGCAGGCGGUUUUGUAAGUCAGAUGUGAAAUCCCCGGGCUUAACCUGGGAACU